CCCGCCGGCGACCGGCGCACGGGUGAGUAACACGUAUGAAACCUGCCCGUAGCAGGGGGAUAAGCGGAAGAAAUUCCGUCUAAUACCGCGUAACAACCCGAGGAGGCAUCUCCUCGGGUUUAAAGGAAGCGAUUCCGGCUACGGAUGGUCAUGCGUCGCAUUAGCUAGUUGGCGGGGUAACGGCCCACCAAGGCGACGAUGCGUAGGGGCUCUGAGAGGAAGGUCCCCCACACUGGUACUGAGACACGGACCAGACUCCUACGGGAGGCAGCAG
rnacentral:rRNA from 1 species